rnacentral:misc_RNA from 1 species
CCGUAUUCACGGGAUGCGCGCGGCGGCACUCUGGCUGGCGGGACAACGCGAGGAAGCCCGUGCCGCCGCGUUACAAUCGCAAAAGCUGGCGCCGCCCUAUACACCAGAGCUGAUGGCGCAACGCGGCCGGACAACGGCCACGCCGCGCUUCAAGGAGGGAGGCGCGCGACCGCUAUGUUGCAGCUUAUCGUGCCGCCCUCGCGCCCGUUCCAGCGUCAACCAACUGAAGAAAACCGUCUUUCUUCGAUCUUCCUGCACAGAU